GACUAGAUACUGUGGUCUACCUUUUGGGUUAGACCAGUUGUAUCACGUCUUUUUUUCUAGAUUCUUUACUAGCCUUCUGGGUGUGUAAAGGUGAUCUAGGACUUUUACUUUGAAGAAAUUAGAGUGUUUAAGGCAGGCUUGUGCUUGAAUACAUUAGCAUGGAAUAAUAAAAUAGGACUUUGGUUUUAUUUUGUUGGUUAUAAAGCCGAGGUA
rnacentral:rRNA from 1 species